rnacentral:rRNA from 1 species
GUAACGCGUAGUCAACCUACCCUAUGGACGGGAAUAACCUCGGGAAACUGAGUAUAAUGCCCGAUAGAACAUUAUGCCUGGAAUGGUUUAUGUUCCAAAUGAUUUAUCGCCGUAGGAUGGGACUGCGGCCUAUCAGUUUGUUGGUGAGGUAAUGGCCCACCAAGUCUAUUACAGGUACGGGCUCUGAGAGGAGUAGCCCGGAGAUGGGUACUGAGACACGGACCCAGGCCCUAUGGGGCGCAGCAGGCGAGAAAACUUUGCAAUGUGCGAAAGCACGACAAGGUUAAUCCGAGUGGUUUCUGCUAAAGGAACCUUUUGUCAGUCCUAAAAACACUAACGAAUAAGGGGUGGGCAAGUUCUGGUGUCAGCCGCCGCGGUAAAACCAGCACCUCAAGUGGUCAGGAUGAUUAUUGGGCCUAAAGCAUCCGUAGCCUGCCCUGUAAGUUUUCGGUUAAAUCUGUAUGCUCAACAUACAGGCCGCCGGGAAUACUGCAGGGCUAGGGAGUGGGAGAGGUAGACGGUACUCGGGAGGAAGUGGUAAAAUGCUUUGAUCUCUCGAUGACCACCUGUGGCGAAGGCGGUCUACCAGAACACGUCCGACGGUGAGGGAUGAAAGCUGGGGGAGCAAACCGGAUUAGAUACCCGGGUAGUCCCAGCCGUAAACUAUGCAAACUCAGUGAUGCAUUGGCUUGUGGCCAAUGCAGUGUUGCAGGGAAGCCGUUAAGUUUGCCGCCUGGGAAGUACGUACGCAAGUAUGAAACUUAAAGGA